ACAGUAUAUGGCUUUUGCUAGUUGGUUAGGUUCCAAAUAUUUUUCCUUGCAAUCAUCUAUGCUUUACUUGGAAUACCACUCUCAUAUGUGCUGUGGUACAGGACCCUUUAUCGGGCAAUGAGGACAGAUUCUGCCUUGAAGUUUGGUGGUGUUUCCUGUUUUAC